AGAAUGUGCAGGCCAAGGCUCAGGGAGCUGCUGAUGCAGUCAAGAAUGCCACUGGCAUGAACAAAUGAAGCUGCUCAUGAUGAUAAUCAUUUUCAUGACUUUUAAUGACUUUAUAGAUGAUAAAACUUUGAUUGAGUUUUUUUUUGGGUCGAACUUUGAUUUUUAUAGACUUUUAUGUAAUUUGUUUUUCUUUCUUACCUUCCGUUUCGAUGAAAGAAUUGAAAAUUGCAUAGAAUUCUAAAAUAACAGAAUUUAGAUUCCAAUCGGUUUAAUUUAUGUCAAUUAAUAAUUUCGGUGUUCGAAUUUAUGUAUGUCGAAUUUUGCAAAUAACAGAAAUUUCAGGGAAAAUAAAUUUCUUCCACUCAAUAGAAAUAGUGAAACGUCUCUUUUGGUUGAAAUUAAACUCGAAAAUUUUGAGUGCUUAAGUUUCGUACUUAAGUUGCCAAACAAUGGAAAUAUCAAAUCAUACUAUUCAAUUCCUGACUUUUAGCUAAACUCCGAGUUAUUUUCGUCCAUCUAAAUAGAGGGUAAUAGAGUAGUAUGAUUAGAAGGUAUGUAGUAUGACCCAAAGAAAACGACUUCUAAAUAGUAUCGUUUGAUCAUGAUGAAUUAAGUCAUGAGAUCUAUAUAACCAAAAUAAUUAUUCACGUAGAGAUUGAUGAAAAUCAAUUAUGAAAAUGCCAAAGUAAUUGCAUUGUUUCUUCUAACAAAGAUAACAUGGUCUCUUUGUUGUUCUAGUGGACUUCAUAAAUAAAUUCUAAUCAUGGCAGUGUUUAUUCAAACUAGUAACAUAUCUAUUAUAACCAAAAGUGUUGAGAUCCAAGUAUCACCUUUCCCCUAAGGUCUUUAAAGGCAGUUAAAUUAAAACAUGUAAAGAUCGCCUGACCAACAUCCAACCAAAAAAAAAAAAAAAAGUGCAGUACCUCUCUUGUAUCUCGCAAAAGAAAAAAAGAAGAUAGAAAUGAUGUGAAUGAACUUGGGGUAACUUUCAAGUAGAAAAACUCAUAUAGAGCUGGUGUAUGCAUUAUUUUUCUUGUAAUAAGUGGUCACAUAACUAAGCACGUGAAAGAAAGUAGUGUGCAUGAAAGAGCUGGUAUAUGCACUAUUUUUAUUGUUAUAAGUGGUCACAUAACUAAGCACAUGAAAGAAUAUAACAUGCAUGAUGAUGUAUAAAAUUUGUUACACGUAAAAGGCACUUGUCAAAAAAACUGAAGGACAAUAUCGCUUUUAACUCAUGUCGAGGAUAACCCAACAAGUUUAUAGAAUUUACUCAUAAGAUGUUCUGGCCUUUCAAUUAAAUAACAAUAUCUUAUGGAAUAUGGCAUAGUCUUGUGAAUUGUAAUUAAUUGAUAAUAUAAUCUAAUAUUACAAGACUCAACAUAUAUAACUGUCUCAAAACCCUCAGAAUAGCAAUUGCCGACAUGAAGAUAAGACUCAACAGCGUUCCUAGUCAAAAGGCUCACCCCAAGUUAUAGGGCGACACGUGUUAUAUAUGGUGCAAAACCAUGACCAGGAUGAAAUGUGUGCAUGGCAUCACACGUGUUGAGCAUUCAGCUGGUCCAAAAUCCUAUAUAUACCCUACCCAAUUGUGAGAUAUUCAUCAUUAGCAAAUCAAAUUUGAGUUAUAACAACUUUAUCUGAAUUUCAAGUGUUUUCAAGAAAACAAAGCAAGAAGAAAAUGGCUGACAACUCUCAGAAGAUGAGCUACCACGCUGGAGAGGCCAAGGGCCAAGCUCAGGUAAUUAGCUCACCUGUAAAUUAUAAUUCUCCAUUUGUUUUUGCUUCUUUCUUAUGUUUUCCUUUAGAUUGAUGGGGAUGUUUUGUAUUGGAUAAUUUUGGAUUUAACAGGAGAAGGCCAGUGGGAUGAUGGAUAAGGCUAACGAUGCAGCCCAAUCUACCAAGGAGACAAUGCAAGAUGUUGGUCAGAAUGUGCAGGCGAAGGCUCAAGGUGCUGCUGAUGCAGUAAAGAAUGCCACUGGCAUGAACAAAUGAAGUUGCUCAUGAUGAUCAUUUUCAUAACUUUUAAUGAAUUUAUAGGGUUAAGAUGAUGGCAAACUUUCAUUGAGUUUUAUAGACUUUUAUGUAAUUUUUUUUUCUUUCUUAUCCUUCUUUUGAAAGAAGGAAUUGAAAAUUGCAUAGAAUUCUAAAAUGAUGGAAUUUAGAUCUCCAUCAUUUUAAGUUACGGAAAUUAAUAAUUUCAGUGUUUGGAUUUAUGUAUGUCGAAUUUUGCAAAUGAAAUUUCAAGGAAAAACAAAUUCCUUCACUCAAUAGAAAUUGUGAAUGAUGUCUCUUUUGAUUGAAAUUAAACUCGAAAAUCUUGAGUGCUUAACUUUCGUGCUAAAGUAGCCAAACAAUGAAAAAAAUUAAAUUCUACGCUUCAAUUCUUAACUUUUAGCUAAAUAAUUAACGUACGGUAAUAGCAGUAUGUAGUAUGACCAAAAGAAAACGAAUUCUAAUAUUAUCUUUUGAUCAUGAUGAAUUAACUCAUGAGAUCUAUAUAAACAAAAUAAUUAUUCAUGUAGAGAUUUGAUGAAUAUCAAUUAUGAAUUCGUUGGGUUAGAGACUUUUUCACCUCAGAUUUCUAAAGGUCUCAUUCUGGGCCUGGGUGCCUUAGGGCUUUUUGAAAUAUCCACCAGUUGACCAAACACAUUAAAAUACACUCAAGUCAAGAGAACCAAACUAACACAAAAAUACAGAAUGUAAAUGAACUUGGGGUAACUAUCAAGUAGAAAUUUUUUUAUAGAGCUAGUGUAUGCAUUAUUUUCCUCGUAAUAAGUGUUCACAUAACUAAGCACGUGAAAGAAUGUAGCGUGCAUGAAAGAGCUGGUGUAUGCAUUAUUUUUCUUACAAUAAGUGGUCACAUAACUAAGCACGUGAAAGAAUAUAGCAUGCAUGAUGAUGUCUAAAACUCGUUACACGUAAGAUUUUUUGAGGUUAAAGAUAAAAUGAACACUUGUUCAGAAACUGAAGGACAAUAUUGCUUUUAACUCAUGUGGAGGAUAACCCAACAAGUUUAUUGGCAUUUACACAUAAGAUGUUCUGGCCUUUCAAUCAAAUAAUAAUAUCUUGUGGAUUAUGGAACAGUCUUGUGAAUUGUAAUUAAUUGUUAAUAUAAUUCAAUAUUACGAGAAUUUCAUAAUGCUAAAAAAAAGUAAUUUCCAUUCACAAAACUGUCCAAGAAACACUCAGAAUAACAACUUUUAAGACUCAACAGCCUUCCUGGUCAAACGGCUCACCCUAAAUUAUAGGGCGACACGUGUUAUGGUCCAAAACCAUGACUAGGAUGAAAUGUGUGCAUGACAUCACACAUGUCGAGCAUUCAGUUGGUCUAAAAUCGUAUAUAAACCAUACCCAAUUGUGAGAUAUUCAUCAUCAGCAAAUCAAAUUUGAGUUAUAACAACUUCAUUUGAAUUUCAAGUGUUUUCAAGAAAACAAAGCAAGAAGAAAAUGGCUGACAACUCUCAGAAGAUGAGCUACCACGCUGGAGAGGCCAAGGGCCAAGCUCAGGUAAUUAGCUCACCUGUAAAUUGUAAUUCUCCAUUUGUUUUUGCUUCUUUCUUCUGUUUUCUUUUAGAUUGAUGUGGGAUUUUUUGUAUUGGAUAAUUUUGGAUUUAACAGGAAAAGGCCAGUGGGAUGAUGGAUAAGGCUAACAAUGCAGCCCAGUCUACCAAGGAGACAAUGCAAGAUGUUGGUCAGAAUGUGCAGGCGAAGGCUCAAGGAGCUGCUGAUGCAGUCAAGAAUGCCACUGGCAUGAACAAAUGAAGCUGCUCAUGAUGAUAAUCAUUUUCAUGACUUUUAAUGACUUUAUAGAGUUAAGAUGAUGGCAAACUUUCAUUUAGUUUUAUAGACUUUUAUGUCUUUCUUUUUUUUUCUUUUUUUUUUCUUUUUUUUUUCUUUCUUACCCUUCUUUUGAAAGAAGGAAUUGAAAAUUGCAUAGAAUUCUAAAAUGAUGGAAUUUAGAUCUUCAUCAUUUUCAGUUAUGGCAAUUAAUAAUUUUAGGGUUCGAAUUUAUGUAUAUCGAAUUUUGCAAAUGAAAUUUCAGGGAAAAACGAAUUCCUUCACUCAAUAGAAAUUGUGAAAUGAUGUCUGCUUUGAAUGAAAUUAAACUCAGAAAUAUUGAGUGCUUAACUUUCGUGCUAAAGUAGCCAAACAAUGAAAAUAUCAAAUUCAACACUUCAAUUCCUAACUUUUAGGUAAAUAAUUAACAUAGGGUAAUAACAGUAUGUAGUAUGACCAAAAGAAAACGAAUUCUAAUAUUAUCUUUUGAUCAUGAUGAAUUAACUCAUGAGAUCUAUAUAACCAAGAUAAUUAUUCAUGUAGAGAUUGAUGAAUAUCAAUUAUGAAUUCGUUGGGUUUGAGACUAUUUCAUCUCUUAUUUCUAAAGGUCUCAUUCUAGGCCUGGGUACCUUAGAGCUUUUUGAAAUAUCCACCAGUUGACCAAACACAUUAAAAUGCACUCAAGUCAAGAAACAAGACUCCACAAAUCAGAAACACAAGAGAACCAAACUAACACAAAAAUACAGAAUGUGAAGGAACUUGGGGUAACUAUCAAGUAGAAAAAUUUCUAUAGAGCUGAUGUAUGCCUUAUUUUCCUCGUAAUAAGUAUUCACAUAACUAAGCACAUGAAAGAAUAUAGCGUGCAUGAAAGAGCUAGUGUAUGCAUUAUUUUUCUCAUAAUAAAUGGUCACAUAACCAAGCACAGGAAAGAAUAUAGUGUGCAUGAUGAUGUAUAAAACUCGUUACAAGUAAGAUUUUUUGUGUUAAAGACAAAAUGCACAAUUUCCUAGAAACUGAAGGAUAAUAUCACUUUUAACUCAUGUGGAGGAUAACCCAACAAGUUUAUUAGCAUUUACUCAUAAGAUGUUCUGGCCAUUCAAUCAAAUAAAAAUAUCUCGUGGAUUGUGGAAUAGUCUUGUGAAUUGUAAUUAAUUGAUAAUAUAACCCAAUAUUACAAGAAUUCCAUAAUGCUGAAAAAAGUAAUUUCCAUUCACAAAACUGUUUAAGAAACCCUCAGAAUAGCAACUUUUAAGACUCAACAGCCUUCCUGGUCAAAAGGCUCACCCUAAGUUAUUGGGCGACACGUGUUAUGGUCCAAAACUAUGACCAGGAUGAAAUGUGUGCAUGACAUCACACAUGUCGAGCAUUCAGCUGGUCUAAAAUCGUAUAUAAACCAUACCCAAUUGUGAGAGAUUCAUCAUCAGCCAAUCGAAUUUGAGUUAUAACAACUUCAUCUAAAUUUCAAGUGUUUUCAAGAAAACAAAGCAAGAAGAAAAUGGCUGACAACUCUCAAAAGAUGAGCUACCAUGUUGGAGAGGCCAAGGGCCAAGCUCAGGUAAUUAGUUCACCUGUAAAUUGUAAUUCUCCAUUUGUUUUUGCUUCUUUCUUCUUUUUUCUUUUAGAUUAAAGUGGGAUGUUUUGUAUUGGAUAAUUUUGGAUUUAACAGGAGAAGGCCGGUGGGAUGAUGGAUAAGGCUAACAAUGCAGCCCAAUCUACCAAGGAGACAAUGCAAGAUGUUGGUCAGAAUGUGCAGGCGAAGGCUCAAGGAGCUGCUGAUGCAGUCAAGAAUGCCACUGGCAUGAACAAAUGAAGCUGCUCAUGAUGAUCAUUUUCAUGACUUUUAAUGACUUUAUAGAGUUAAGAUGAUGGCAAACUUUCAUUUAGUUUUAUAGACUUUUAUGUCUAUUUUUUUUUUUCUGUCUUACCCUUCUUUUGAAAGAAGGAAUUGAAAAUUGCAUAGAAUUAUAAAAUAAUGGAAUUUAGAUCUUCAUCAUUUUAAGUUAUGGCAAUUAAUAAUUUCAGGGUUCAAAUUUAUGUAUAUCGAAUUUUGCAAAUGAAAAAUGAAAUUUCAGGAUUAAAAGAAUUCCUUCACUCAAUAGUGAAAUGAUGUCUCUUUUGAAUGAAAUUAAACCCAGAAAUCUUGAGUGCUUGACUUUUGUGCUAAAAUAGCCAAACAGUGAAAAUAUUAAAUUCUACUCUUCAAUUCUUUACUUUUAGCUAAAUAAUUAACGUAGGGUAAUAGCAGUAUGUAGUAUGACCAAAAGAAAACGAAUUCUAAUAUUAUCUUUUGAUCAUGAUGAAUUAACUCAUGAGAUCUAUAUAACCAAAAUAAUUAUUCAUGUAGAGAUUGAUGAAUAUCAAUUAUGAAUUCGUUGGGUUGAAUAUCAAUUAUGAAUUCGUUGGGUUAGAGACUUUUUCACCUCAGAUUUCUAAAGGUCUCAUUCUGGGCCUUGGUGCCUUAGGGAUUUUUGAAAUAUCCACCAGUUGACCAAACACAUUAAAAUACACUCAAGUCAAGAGAACCAAACUAACACAAAAAUACAGAAUGUGAAUGAACUUGGGGUAACUAUCAAGUAGAAAAAUUUAUAUAGAGCUAGUGUAUGCAGUAUUUUCCUCGUAAUAAGUGUUCACAUAACUAAGCACAUGAAAGAAUGUAGCGUGCAUGAAAGAGCUAGUGUAUGCAUUAUUUUUCUCAUAAUAAGUGGUCACAUAACUAAGCACAGGAAAGAAUAUAGCGUGUAUGAUGAUGUAUAAAACUCGUUACACAUAAGAUUUUUUGCGGUUAAAGACAAAAUGCACACUUGCCCAUAAACUGAAGGAUAAUAUCGCUUUUUAACUCAUGUGGAGGAUAACCCAACAAGUUUAUUAGCAUUUACUCAUAAGAUGUUCUGGCCUUUCAAUCAAAUAAAAAUAUCUCGUGGAUUGUGGAACAGUCUUGUGAAUUGUAAUUAAUUGAUAAUAUAAUCCAAUAUUACAAGAAUUCCAUAAUGCUGAAAAAAGUAAUUUCCAUUCACAAAACUAUAUAAGAAACCCUCAGAAUAGCAACUUUUAAGACUCAACAGCCUUCCUGGUCAAAAGGCUCACCCUAAGUUAUUGGCGACACGUGUUAUGGUCCAAAACCAUGACCAGGAUGAAAUGUGUGCAUGACAUCACACAUGUCGAGCAUUCAGCGGGUCUAAAAUCGUAUAUAAACCAUACCUAACCGUGAGAGAUUCAUCAUCAUCCAAUCAAAUUUGAGUUAUAACAACUUCAUCUGAUUUCCAAGUGUUUUCAAGAAAACAAAGCAAGAAGAAAAUGGCUGACAACUCUCAAAAGAUGAGCUACCAUGCUGGAGAGGCCAAGGGCCAAGCUCAGGUAAUUAGCUCACCUGUAAAUUGUAAUUCUCCAUUUAUUUUUGCUUCUUUCUUUGGUUUUCUUUUAUAUUAAAUUGGGAUGUUUUGUAUUGGAUAAUUUUGGAUUUAAUAGGAGAAGGCCAGUGGGAUGAUGGAUAAGGCUAACAAUGCAGCCCAGUCUACCAAGGAGACAAUGCAAGAUGUUGGUCAGAAUGUGCAGGCGAAGGCUCAAGGAGCUGCUGAUGCAGUCAAGAAUGCCACUGGCAUGAACAAAUGAAGCUGCUCAUGAUGAUCAUUUUCAUGACUUUUAAUGACUUUAUAGAGUUAAGAUGAUGGCAAACUUUCAUUGAGUUUUAUAGACUUUUAUGUAAUUUUUUCUUUCUUUCUUACCCUUCUUUUGAAAGAAUGAAUUGAAAAUUUCAUAGAAUUCUAAAAUGAUGGAAUUUAGAUCUCCAUCAUUUUAAGUUACGACAAUUAAUAUAAUUUCAGUGUUCGGAUUUAUGUAUAUCGAAUUUUACAAUUGAAAUUUCAGGGAAAAACGAAUUCCUUCACUCAAUAGAAAUUAUGAAAUGACUUCUCUUUUGAUUGAAAUUAAACUCAGAAAUCUUGAGUGCUUAACGUUCGUGCCAAAGUAGCCAAACAAUGGAAAUAUUAAAUUCUACUCUUCAAUUCUUAACUUUUAGCUAAAUAAUUAACGUAGGGGAAUAGCAGUAUGUAGUAUGACCACAAGAAAACAGAUUCUAAUAUUAUCUUUUGAUCAUGUUGAAUUAACUCAUGAGAUCUAUAUAACCAAACUAAUUAUUCAUGUAGAGAUUGAAGAAUAUCAAUUAUGAAUUCGUUGGGUUUGAGACUUUUUCAUCUCUGAUUUCUAAAGGUCUCAUUCUGAGCAUGGGUGCCUUAGAGCUUUUUGAAAUAUCCACCAGUUGACCAAAGACAUUAAAAUGCACUCAAGUCAAGAAACAAGACUCCAGAAAUCAGAAAUACAAGAGAACCAAACACACACGAAAAUACAGAAUGUGAAUAACUAAGCACGUGAAAGAAUGUAGCGUGCAUGAAAGAGCUGGUGUAUGCAUUAUUUUUUCCGUAAUAAGUGGUCAUAGAACUAAGCACGUGACAGAAUAUAGCGUGCAUGAUGAUGUAUAAAACUCGUUACACGUAAGAUUUUUUAUGAUUAAAGAUAAAAUGGACACUUGCCCAGAAACUGAAGGAUAAUAUCGUUUUUAACUCAUGUGAGGGAUAACCCAACAAGUUUAUUAGCAUUUACUCAUAAGAUGUUCUGGCCUUUCAAUCAAAUAACAAUAUCUCGUGGAUUGUGGAACAGUCUUCUGAAUUGUAAUUAAUAGAUAAUAUAAUCCAAUAUAAGAAUUCCAUAAUGCUGAAAAAAGUCAUUUUCAUUCACAAAACUGUCUAAGAAACCCUCAGAAUAGCAACUUUUAAGACUCAACAGCCUUCCUGGUCAAAAGGCUCACCCUAAGUAAUUGGGCGACACGUGUUAUGGUCCAAAACCAUGACCAGGAUGAAAUGUGUGCAUGACAUCACACAUGUCGAGCAUUCAGCUGGUCUAAAAUCGUAUAUAAACCAUACCCAAUUGUGAUCAGCAAAUCAAAUUUGAGUUAUAACAACUUCAUCUGAAUUUCAAGUGUUUUCAAGAAAACAAAGUAAGAAGAAAAUGGCUGACAACUCUCAAAAGAUGAGCUACCACGCUGGAGAGGCCAAGGGCCAAGCUCAGGUAAUUAGCUCACCUGUAAAUUGUAAUUUUCCAUUUGUUUUUGCUUCUUUCUUCUGUUUUUUUAUAGAUUAAUGUGGGAUGUUUUGUAUUGGAUAAUUUUGGAUUUAACAGGAGAAGGCCGGUGGGAUGAUGGAUAAGGCUAACAAUGCAGCCCAAUCUACCAAGGAGACAAUGCAAGAUGUUGGUCAAAAUGUGCAGGCGAAGGCUCAAGGGGCUGCUGAUGCAGUCAAGAAUGCCACUGGCAUGAACAAAUGAAGCUGCUCAUGAUGAUCAUUUUCAUGACUUUUAAUGACUUUGUAGAGUUAAGAUGAUGGCAAAAUUUCAUUGAGUUUUAUAGACUUUUAUGUAAUUUUUUUUUUCUUUCUUACCCUUCUUUAGAAAGAAAGAAUUUAAAAUUACAUAGAAUUCCAAAAUGAUGGAAUUUAGAUCUCCAUCAUUUUAAGUUACGGCAAUUAAUAAUUUCAGUAUUUGGAUUUAUGUAUAUCGAAUUUUACAAAUAAAAUUUCACGGAAAAACGAAUUCCUUCACUCAAUAGAAAUUGCGAAAUGACGUCUCUUUUUAUUGAAAUUAAACCCAGAAAUCUUGAGUGCUUGACUUUUGUGCUAAAAUAGCCAAACAGUGAAAGUAUUAAAUUCUACUCUUCAAUUCUUUACUUUUAGCUAAAUAAUUAACGUAGGGUAAUAGCAGUAUGUAGUAUGACCAAAAGAAAACGAAUUCUAAUAUUAUCUUUUGAUCAUGAUGAAUUAACUCUUGAGAUCUAUAUAACCAAAAUAAUUAUUCAUGUAGAGAUUGAUGAAUAUCAAUUAUGAAUUCGUUGGGUUUGAGACAAUUUCAUCUCUUAUUUCUAAAGGUCUCAUUCUCGGCCUGGGUGCCUUAGAGCUUUUUGAAAUAUCCACCAGUUGACCAAACACAUUAAAAUGCACUCAAGUCAAGAAACAAGACUCGUAAAUCAGAAAUACAAGAGAACCAAACACGCACAAAAAUACAUAAUGUGAAUGAACUUGGGGUAAUUAUCAAGUAGAAAAUUUUAUAUAAAGCCGGUGUAUGCCUUAUUUUCCUCGUAAUAAGUGUUCACAUAACUAAGCACGUGAAAGAAUGUAGCGUGCAUGAAAGAGUUGGUAUAUGCAUUAUUUUUCUCGUAAUAAGUGGUCACAUAACUAAGCACGUAAAAGAACAUAGCGUGCAUGAUAAUGUAUAAAACUCAUUACACGUAAGAUUUUUUGUGGUUAAAGAUAAAACACUUGUCCAGAAACUUUGGGACAAUAUCGCUUUUAACUCAUGUGGAGGUUAACCCAACAAGUUUAUUAGCAUUUACUCAUUAAUUAGAUGUUCUGGCCUUUCAAUCAAAUAAUAAUAUCUUGUGGCUUAUGGAACAAUCUUGUGAAUUGUAAUUAAUUGAUAAUAUAAUCCAAUAUUACAAUAAUUCCAUAAUGCUGAAAAAAGUAAUUUCCAUUCAAAAAACUGUCUAAGAAACCCUCAGAAUAGCAACUUGGAAGACUCAACAGCCUUCCUGGUCAGAAGGCUCACCCUAAGUUAUAGGGCGACACGUUUUAUGGUCCAAAACCAUGACCUGGAUGAAAUGUGUGCCUGGCAUCACACAUGUCGAGCAUUCAGCUGGUCUAAAAUCGUAUAUAAACCAUACCCAAUUGUGAGAUAUUCAUCAUUAGCAAACCAAAUUUGAGGUAUAAAAACAUCAUCUGAAUUUCAAGUGUUUUCAAGAAAACAAAGCAAGAAGAAAAUGGCUGACAACUCUCAGAAGAUGAGCUACCACGCUGGUGAGGCCAAGGGCCAAGCUCAGGUAAUUAGCUCAUGUGUAAUUCUCCAUUUGUUUUUACUUAUUUCUUCUACUUUCUUUUAAAUAUUACAUUAUUAUAUGUGAAUGUGCAUUGAGAUUGAUGUGGGGUGUUUUGUAUUGGAUACUUUUGGAUUUAACAGGAGAAGGCUAGUGGGAUGAUGGAUAAAGCUAACAAUGCAGCCCAAUCUACCAAGGAGACAAUGCAAGAUGUUGGUCAGAAUGUGCAUGCGAAGGCUCAAGGAGCUGCUGAUGCAGUCAAGAAUGCAACUGGCAUGAACAAAUGAAGCUGCUCAUGAUGAUCAUUUUCAUGACUUUUAAUGACUUUAUAGAGUUAAGAUGAUGACAAACUUUGUUUGAGUUUUAUAGACUUUUAUGUAAUUUUUUUUUCUUUCUUACUCUUCUUUUGAACGAAGGAACUGAAAAUUGCAUAGAAUUCUAAAAUGAUUGAAUUUAGAUCCCCAUCGUUUUCAUUUAUGGUAAUUAAUAAUUUUAGUAUUCGGAUUUAUGUAUGUUAAAUUUUGUAAAUGACAUAAAUUUUAGGGGAAAACGAAUUCUAAUAUCUUUUGAUCACGAUGAAUUAACUCAUGAGAUCUAUAUAACCAAAAUAAUUAUUCAUGUAGAGAUUGAUGAAUAAUAUCAAUUACGACUCUUGAGAUUGGGGCCCAAUUCGUUGGGUUUGAGACUUUUUCAUCUUUUAUUUCUAAAGACAUCGUUUUGGGCUUGGGUGCCUUAGUGCUUUUUGAAAUAUCCACAAGUUUACUAAACACAUUAAUGACAUGUUUAUUAAUCCGUAAUUAGAUUAGGAGCAAUUGAAUUGAUGAUGAAUUGAAUUGGGAAGGAGUUAGAUUGAGGAGAAUUAGAUUUCGGAUUCCUAUUGAAGUUCUUUACUAAACCGUAUGGAUUGAGGAGAAUUAAAUUCCGGAUUUCUAUUGAAGUUGUUUACUAAAUCAUAUGGAAUUGAGGUAAUAGUGGUACUAAUUACUAAAAUGACCUCGUUGUUUGGUUAAAGUAGAUGGCAAAUUUGAAAUUUUGAAAAUUGAGGAUAUAAUGGGUAACAAAGAUGAAUUCCUAAUAGAUUAGUUCUCCAGGAAUUAGAAUACCACUUCCCACCGAAGAAUUGAGUUUCUCCAAAAUUAGGAAUUCAAUUCCUAAUUUUAUAUGGCCCCACUUACUUUUUAAUUCUUUGAUGUGAAAUAAACACAGGAAUUCUCCAUAGGUGGAAUUCAAUUCUUGAUUAGUAAAAACACAAUAAAAUGCACUCAGGUCAAGAAACAGAACUCCGAAAAUCAGAGAUACAAGAGAACCAAACCAACACAAAAAUACAAAAUGUGAAUGAACUUGGGGAAACUAUCAAAUAGAAAAUUUUAUAUAGAGCUGGUGUAUGCAUUAUUUUUCUCGUAAUAAGUAUUCACAUAACCAAGCACGUGAAAGAAUGUAACGUGCAUGAAAGAGUUGGUGUAUGCAUUAUUUUUCUCGUAGUAAGUGGUCAAAUAACUAAGCACUUAAAAGAAUAUAGCGUGCAUGAUAAUGUAUAAAACUCAUUACAAGUAAGAUUUUUUGCGGUUAAAAGUAAAAUGCAUACUUGUCCAUAAACUUAGGGACAAUAUCGCUUUUAACUCAUGUGGAGGAUAACCCAACAAGUUUAUUAGCAUUUACUCAUAAGAUGUUUUGGUCUUUCUAUCAAAUAACAAUAUCUUGUGAGUCUUGCGAAUUAUAAUUAAUUGAUAAUGUAUUUUUAGGCGUAGUAAUUAAGGAAAUAUAAUCCAAUAUUAUAAGAAUUCCAUAAUACUGAAAAAAGUAAUUUCCAUAUUCAAAACUGUCUGAACCCUAAGAAUAGCAACUGUAGAUGAAGAUAAGACUCAACAGCCUUGUCCUGGUCCGAAAGGCUCAUCCCAAGUUAUAAGGCGACACGUGUUAUGGUCCAAAGCCAUGAAAUGUGUGAAUAGCUUCCGCAUGGCAUCACACGUGUCGAGCAUUCAGCUGGUUGAAAAUUCUAUAUAAACCCUACCCAAAUGUGAAAUAUUCAUCAUCAGCAAAUCAAAUUCGUGUUAUAAAAACUACAUCUGAAUUUCAAGUGCUUUCCUCCAGUUUCCAAGAAAACAAAGCAAGAAAAAAAUGGCUUCCAACUCUGAGAAGGUGAGCUACCACGCUGGUGAGGCCAAGGGCCAAGCUCAGGUAAUUUUCUUCACCUAUUAUUCUCCAUUUGUUCCUGCAUUUUUUGUUGUUGAAUAUUACAUAAUUUAUGCUGAAUGUGCAUUGAGAUUGAUGUAAUUUUUCAUUUAACAGGAGAAGGCGAGUGGGGUGAUGGAUAUGGCAAACAAUGCAGCCCAAUCUGCCAAGGAAACAAUGCAAGCGGCAGGCCAGAAUGUGCAGGCCACGGCUAUAGGAGCUGCUGAUGCAGUCAAGAAUGCCACUGGCAUGAACAAAAAAUGAAGCUAGCUGCUCAUCAUGAUCUCAAUAUGAGCAUUUGCAGUUUUUUUUUCUUUUUUUUGGGAGCUUUCUAGUAGUUGCUUUUGAUUUCUGUCUUCUAAACAAGGGAGCUCUAAGUCCUCUGGAGUUCUCAUCAUCUGGGUGUGUACUUUCGUUCACACUUGGUUUUAGUUUUUGUUUUCUUUUUCUUUUUGUUCAUGUUUAUCUCCUUUGAACAAGGAAAGUGGGCUCUGCCUAUUGUAGUUCUCACCUAAUUGAAUCAUAUGCUGUUUUUAAUCCCAUCUAUAUGUUCAAGAUUGGUCCUUUGUUUAUGCAGAUGAGCAAAAUCCGACCUAAGAGUUUCUGAAAAUAAAAAACAUAAAAAAAAGAAGAUAUAAAUUAAUUAAGCAAGUGCGACAACUCAUAAUUAAGAGAAGCUACUUUUGCAUCUGAUAGAAUUUUAUUGAUAAUGCGGGAUGAAAAUAAGUAAAAAAAUUAAGCUAUGUCUAAAUAAUUAGGUGAGCAUCUCUACACAUAAUGACGUAGUGGUCGUCGAACUAUCUAGAUAGUCUAUCUUCUCAACCUUCUCUCGUCGGACUACCUAUAGAUAGCCUCUCGUCGGACUACCUAGGUAGCCUACCUUCUCAACCUUCUCAACUACAAACGAAAAAAAUAAAAACCUUGCCACCGUUAGAGCGGCCCCAUCUCUCUAAGAUUAGCUACUUAACUAUAGAACAAUAUCGUGACUAUGUAGCUAAGUAGCUUUCCCACAUCAAAGAAAUUUCUGUGACCUUCUUCCGUGAAAUUAAAGUACCAUAAUUUGUUGAAAAUUAAAGCACUUUUGUCGAGAAAUAUCUAGAAAAAUCUAGAUAAGAUCACCGACCAAGCUAAAGUCUACAUAUGCCAGAACUGUCAUAUGAAAUAUCCAAUAUGGUACUAUUAGAUUGAUAAUACGAUAAAAACUAGUGGAGACCACAAAGUUGUGGUUAGGAAUGUAGCAGCAGCUCGGCUGAAAAUGUGUGGUUAGGAACAAAACAAGCCCAAGUGGGUGGAGCUUCAGCAUGUCGGCUGCUGUCAUCUGUAAAUGAAUUUGGUAUGUUUAUUUUAAAAUAAAUUAAUCCAUAAUUACAUUAAAUUACCUUUAUUAGUGGGAGUUAAAUUUCCAUUAAUAUGACUCAACUGCUUUAUGCUUGUGUCCAUUAACGUCUUUCUUGGUGGUAUACUAUGUGUAUAUGUUAGUUAUAGCUUGAAAAAGAAAAAGAGAGAAGCCACAGCCUUCUUCCUCUUAUGAUAAAAUUUGGGUUACUAACAAUACAUUUACAUUAAUUACUCUCUCUUGUAGAAAUGUGAUAUUAAUUUAUUGAUUGCAAUCAUUAAUAAAAUUUAGAGGAUUGACGGUAAUGACAAUAUGUAUAAAUGUUUUAAAAACAGUGGCCAAGGUUUUGUGUACUUGGUAGGCUUGUUAAGUUGCUGGACCCAAUUCUACAUCAAAAGAGAGGUGGAGUGCAUUUAUAGUGCAAACUCAAAAUUGGACCUAUAUCAAAAGACUCAUUCUUUUAAUUUAUGUAUUGAGAUUUCUAAGCAACAUAGUUAGAAAGGUGUUUGUUACCUUUUCUAAACUGCUUGCAUAAAUUGGGCGUAGAGCCGCGAAACGUCUGAAAGAGAACGACUUCGUACGUGACUCAUCCCAAGAAUCGUUCCAAACUACAUACUAAAUUUUUCGUGUAAUAUUGUUCUCUUAUUUUAAUUUGUUCAUCAACAAUUUAAAGACCUUUUCAUCUGCCAUUGAUGUGAAUAAUAAGGCUUAUAGAUUCUAUGACCAAAAGAACCAUGUUGUACUUGAAUCUAAAUGAUGUUUAAAAAAAAAGAAGAUAAAUUCUCAUAUAAAUUGAGAAAUUGUGGGGACUCAAGUUCUAGUAAUACAUCUUUCCCAUAAAUCAUGAACCUAGAUGUAUAGAACAUUUUUAACCAACUUAGAACCAAGGAAGAGUAAGAAAACGAAUUGCCAAGGAUUUUGGACCUAAUUUUCAUGUUCAUACCUUAGAGCAAGGAUUUUGGACCUAACUUUCACACUUGGUUUUUGUUUUUGUUCAUGUUAUCUCCUUUGAACAAGGAAAGUGGGCUCUGCCUAUUGUAGUUCUCACCUAAUUGAAGCAUAAUCUUUUUUCAUGUGCUGGUGUUAGAAUUAUCUUCAUCCUUUACUUCGAUUUAAUCCCAUCUAUAUAUUCAACUAGACAACGAUAGAAUCGUGACUGAAAAACUGCCGCUGAUGCCUUGCAAGAGACGAUGGUCACGUAUACGACGAUUAUGUGUCACAUAAGAGGACUGCACUGUGUCUAGAAAAAUCUAGAUAAGAUACCGACCAAGCUAAAGUCUACAUAUGCCAGAACAGUCAUAUAAAGUAUCUCGGCUGAAAAUAUGUGGUUAGGAACAAACAAGCCCAAGUGGGUGGAGCUUGGGCAUGUCGGCUGCUGUCAUUUGUAAAUGAAUUU
rnacentral:lncRNA from 1 species